AACGAACGCUGGCGGCAUGCCUAACACAUGCAAGUCGAACGAGGCCCUUCGGGGUUUAGUGGCGCACGGGUGCGUAACGCGUGGGAAUCUGCCCUUUGGUUCGGAAUAACAGCUGGAAACGGCUGCUAAUACCGGAUGAUGACGAAAGUCCAAAGAUUUAUCGCCAGAGGAUGAGCCCGCGUUGGAUUAGGUAGUUGGUGGGGUAAAGGCCUACCAAGCCGACGAUCCAUAGCUGGUCUGAGAGGAUGAUCAGCCACACUGGGACUGAGACACGGCCCAGACUCCUACGGGAGGCAGCAGUGGGGAAUAUUGGACAAUGGGCGCAAGCCUGAUCCAGCAAUGCCGCGUGAGUGAUGAAGGCCCUAGGGUUGUAAAGCUCUUUUACCCGGGAAGAUAAUGACUGUACCGGGAGAAUAAGCCCCGGCAAACUCCG
rnacentral:rRNA from 1 species